AUUGAACGCUGGCGGCAGGCCUAACACAUGCAAGUCGAACGGUAACAGGAAGCAGCUUGCUGUUUCGCUGACGAGUGGCGGACGGGUGAGUAAUGUCUGGGAAACUGCCUGAUGGAGGGGGAUAACUACUGGAAACGGUAGCUAAUACCGCAUAACGUCGCAAGACCAAAGAGGGGGACCUUCGGGCCUCUUGCCAUCGGAUGUGCCCAGAUGGGAUUAGCUAGUAGGUGGGGUAACGGCUCACCUAGGCGACGAUCCCUAGCUGGUCUGAGAGGAUGACCAGCCACACUGGAACUGAGACACGGUCCAGACUCCUACGGGAGGCAGCAGUGGGGAAUAUUGCACAAUGGGCGCAAGCCUGAUGCAGCCAUGCCGCGUGUAUGAAGAAGGCCUUCGGGUUGCAAAGUACUUUCAGCGGGGAGGAAGGGAGUAAAGUUAAUACCUUUGCUCAUUGACGUUACCCGCAGAAGAAGCACCGGCUAACUCCGUGCCAGCAGCCGCGGUAAUACGGAGGGUGCAAGCGUUAAUCGGGAUUACUGGGCGUAAAGCGCACGCAGGCGGUUUGUUAAGUCAGAUGUGAAAUCCCCGGGCUCAACCUGGGAACUGCAUCUGAUACUGGCAAGCUUGAGUCUCGUAGAGGGGGGUAGAGUUCCAGGUGUAGCGGUGAAAUGCGUAGAGAUCUGGAGGAAUACCGGUGGCGAAGGCGGCCCCCUGGACGAAGACUGACGCUCAGGUGCGAAAGCGUGGGGAGCAAACAGGAUUAGAUACCCUGGUAGUCCACGCCGUAAACGAUGUCGACUUGGAGGUUGUGCCCUUGAGGCGUGGCUUCCGGAGCUAACGCGUUAAGUCGACCGCCUGGGGAGUACGGCCGCAAGGUUAAAACUCAAAUGAAUUGACGGGGGCCCGCACAAGCGGUGGAGCAUGUGGUUUAAUUCGAUGCAACGCGAAGAACCUUACCUGGUCUUGACAUCCACGGAAGUUUUCAGAGAUGAGAAUGUGCCUUCGGGAACCGUGAGACAGGUGCUGCAUGGCUGUCGUCAGCUCGUGUUGUGAAAUGUUGGGUUAAGUCCCGCAACGAGCGCAACCCUUAUCCUUUGUUGCCAGCGGUCCGGCCGGGAACUCAAAGGAGACUGCCAGUGAUAAACUGGAGGAAGGUGGGGAUGACGUCAAGUCAUCAUGGCCUUACGACCAGGGCUACACACGUGCUACAAUGGCGCAUACAAAGAGAAGCGACCUCGCGAGAGCAAGCGGACCUCAUAAAGUGCGUCGUAGUCCGGAUUGGAGUCUGCAACUCGACUCCAUGAAGUCGGAAUCGCUAGUAAUCGUGGAUCAGAAUGCCACGGUGAAUACGUUCCCGGGCCUUGUACACACCGCCCGUCACACCAUGGGAGUGGGUUGCAAAAGAAGUAGGUAGCUUAACCUUCGGGAGGGCGCUUACCACUUUGUGAUUCAUGACUGGGGUG
rnacentral:rRNA from 1 species